GACGAACGCUGGCGGCGUGCUUAACACAUGCAAGUCGAGCGGUAAGGCCCUUUUGGGGGUACACGAGCGGCGAACGGGUGAGUAACACGUGGGUGACCUGCCCUCAGCUCUGGGAUAAGCCUGGGAAACUGGGUCUAAUACUGGAUAUGACCUUUCCUCGCAUGGGGUUGGGUGGAAAGUUUUUCGGCUGGGGAUGGGCCCGCGGCCUAUCAGCUUGUUGGUGGGGUGAUGGCCUACCAAGGCGACGACGGGUAGCCGGCCUGAGAGGGCGACCGGCCACACUGGGACUGAGACACGGCCCAGACUCCUACGGGAGGCAGCAGUGGGGAAUAUUGCGCAAUGGGCGGAAGCCUGACGCAGCGACGCCGCGUGGGGGAUGACGGCCU
rnacentral:rRNA from 1 species